rnacentral:rRNA from 1 species
UGGGGAAUUUUGCACAAUGGGGGAAACCCUGAUGCAGCGACGCCGCGUGAUUUAGAAGGCCUUCGGGUUGUAAAAAUCUUUUCUAUGGGAAGAAAAUGACAGUACCAUAGGAAUAAGGACCGGCUAAUUACGUGCCAGCAGCCGCGGUAAUACGUAAGGUCCGAGCGUUGUCCGGAAUCAUUGGGCGGAAAGGGUACGUAGGCGGGUAAGCAAGUUAGAAGUGAAAUCCUAUAGCUCAACUAUAGUAAGCUUUUAAAACUGCUCAUCUUGAGGUAUGGAAGGGAAAGUGGAAUUCCUAGUGUAGCGGUGAAAUGCGCAGAUAUUAGGAGGAAUACCGGUGGCGAAGGCGACUUUCUGGCCAUAACCUGACGCUGAGGUACGAAAGCGUGGGUAGCAAACAGGA